rnacentral:rRNA from 1 species
AUUGAACGCUGGCGGAAGGCCUAACACAUGCAAGUCGAACGAGAGGCGGAAGGGUGAGUAAUGUACGGGAAACUGCCUGAUGGAGGGGGAUAACAAAUGGAAACGGUAGCUAAUUCCGCCUACCACCAGAUGUGCCGAGAUGGGAUUAGGUAGGUGGUGGGGUAACGGAUCACCAAGGAGACGAUCCCUAGCUGGUCUGAGAGGAUGACCAGCCACACUGGAACUGAGACACGGCCCAGACUCCUACGGGAGGCAGCAGUGGGGAAUAUUGCACAAUGGGCGCAAGCCUGAUCCAGCCAUGCCGCGUGUAUGAUGAAGGCCUUCGGGUUGUAAAGCACUUUCAGCGGGGAAGCGUUACCCGCAGAAGAAGCACCGGCUAACUCCGUGCCAGCAGCCGCGGUAAUAC